rnacentral:lncRNA from 1 species
UGGGCAGGCAGGAGCAGGGUCCCUUUUUGGGGUGCCAACCUCGCUGUGCCCUUUUCUUUCCCCCCGACCUGUCUUGCCCUGGCAGUCUGGCACCGGGUGUUUGCCAAUGCGCUCCCGGACGAUCUGCGCAGCCCCAUGAGGAUCGAGCGCGAGGAGCAGCGGAACCUGCACUUCUUCCCUCCGGAAUAUGGCCGUGAGUGGGGAAUGGGAAUGGGAAUGGGGAAAUGGGAACAGGGAAAUGGGGGAUGGGAAUGGGGAAAAUGGGAAAUGGGAACAGGGGAAUGGGAGCUGCGGAACCUGCACUUCUUCUCCCGCAAUACAGCCGUGAGUGGGGAUGGGAAUGGAAAUGGGAAUGGGAAUGGGAGCAGCAGAACCUGCACUUCUUCCCCCCGAAG